UCUCUGGUUACAAUCGUAAAUUUUUUACAUACUCCCCUGGGAGAAAGGGUUACACAUUUUGCACUUAGCCAUUAGCAUUUCCCAUUCAUUUGUAUUUUAGAUUUGUGAAGAGCUGGCAGCUAGCAGGGUUCUGUGGGAGUGAGAAACAGGGUAGACAACAGUGGUUGGUGAGACACGGGCUGGGCAAGAGAGGCCAAAAUGUACUGAACUAAACAAGAAUGUGGACACAUGGCUUUUGUGUCCCCUCAAGGUAAGGGGCGCAGUUCUAUGAGACUCCUGGGGUGCCAAAAUGGGGUGUCUGGAACAUUUCCACAGUCGGUGCAGGUAGUGGAUAGGAUUUUUGGAAUCUGGACUGUCUUGGAUUUCUGGCGUCUGGUCUUCCCAGACUCUAGGUGGGGCCAGUUGACCCGGGCAGCCCAGAACCCUGGGAGAUGGGAUUGACGGGGGCGGGCAGCACCCAGGUGGCACAGUCGAGCCAGAGGCAGCAGUGACAAGAGGGCUGGCAAUUGCAAGGUUCGUGGGGGAGGCGAUUCCGAGGGGACUGUAGGCCAACCACGUAGUUCCUUUCUUCCCGGGCCGAAACUGGCCACACGUAAGGCCUGAAGAUGGGGCACGGGAGGCCAAGGACAAGGGAUGUUACUCCUGAAACCAUGCACCUCAGAUUGGGACUUGAACCCACGCAGCAGGGACUUGAACCCAGCCAAAACCCACAGUCUUCCAACUGACAUCACACACCUGGUUUCAGGACUUAAUGAAGCUCAGGUUCUUGAUGCCUCAUCACAGAAAGAAUUCAGUGAGAGAAAGAGUGAUAGGUAUGCUGCAGUGUGGGGAGUGGUUGCUUGUCAGCACGGUCAUGGUCUGGUUGGAGGACCCUCAGAUGACUCCUGAUUCCACACUCACUCUGCUGCCUUCUGAUUAUUACUCCAGCAGAUUCUAAUUAAUCAACAGUAUGCUGAUGAAGCAUCUGUAGGAGAAGCACUGGGCUGAACACUGUAGUAGAUUAAAGAUUCACAGCAUAAACUUAGUCCUUACGCUCAAGGAAUUUACAAUCUAGCUGCAGAGAUCAGACAUGUCAAUGAAACACCUAGAAAACAACAGUUUAAAAAAGUACUCAGCUAAGUGUUAUUUGCAUCUCCUUUCCACCCUUUCCACUGCAUCUGCCCCAUGGGGAGGCUCUCUCUUGCCCCAGGUGGUGGAACCCUGGAGACAGUGGGCAGGUAAUAAGCAUCUUCCCUCCGUGCCCCACUCCCUCCUCAUGCUAUAGGACUUAGUCUCCUAUCUUCCCAUUGAGCUUAGCACCCAUGGCUGAGAGUAGGGUUUUGUGUGGAGAUAAUUCCAGAAAAUGGACCCUGCAAAGGGGAUCCUGCCCAGAUGAAAAUAAGUUUAAUUCUUCGAUCAUCUUCUGUUAAAAUUGGAUGAGUUAGGUUAGUUGAAUGGUCAGAGGGACAAUAAAAGGCCAUCAGGAGACCCAGGUGUGGACUUCUUGGAGGCUCUUCUGGUUGUUUUUCCAUGUUCUCUCACUAUGCUUUAAUACCCAUAUUCUUAAAAUAAACAUCC